AUAUAUAUAUAUAUAUAAAUAGUUUGUAUAUUCUUUAAUGGCAUCAAGGUAGUUAUUUCUGAGGAUAAUUCAAGUACAAGAAUUAUAGGGUCACUGUUUUCUGAAAAGUAUGUAUGCUAUAUAAAUGACAUUGAAGUUUCAUUUUAUUUUUCUAAUCACUAAAAUGUGUGAUAUAAUUUAUUUUUCCAAAUUAUCAAGGUAUAUCAGAAUUCCAUGCUUUGUAGUUAUCUGAUACAUGGCAAAAAUGGAACUUUCUAAUUCGUACGACUUUUAUACCAAUCAUCUAGUAGUUGCAGAAAUAUUGAGACUCAUAAUUUUUAAAUUUAUAAAUAUAUUGCAAUUCCUAUUGUCUUUUACAAUGAAGAUGACACAUUGAGAGUUGAUAAAGCGAUCAUGGAGCUCAGAAUUUUUCGUGUUUGUUUGAAUCCCAGAGGAGCAAUUUAUAAACACUAUAUAUUUAUUUACUCUAUUCUCAGAACAGUUGACUGUUUUGUCAUUUGAAUUACACAUUUCAAAAAAAAAAAAAAAAAGAAUGACACAUUGGGUAUUCAGUUGUCUUUCUGAGACUUAAUGAGGCUAAUGAUUCAAAGUUUUUUUUUUAAAUAAUCAACAUUCAUGAAGAUUUUGUACUACCUCUUGGAACACAUAUAAAAUUUUGUAUGUGUUCCCUUAUUGCAUGACAAUAUUCAAGACAACUUUGUAAAUAAUAGUCAAAUACAAAAUUUUAACAUCUAGUUUUUCUAGAUGUAUAGAGUGUCACAGGGUAUAAUUUUGUAAAUACAUCAGUAUGAGCUUUUAUGCUUUUUAAAUUUUUUUGAGUGUGAUUUUUAAAAAUUGAUCUUGUUUGUUACUUGUUAAUAAAUAACAUAGAAGAAUGAGAAAAAGUAUUUUAAGUUCAACACUGGCUACUCAUCUACUGGAAAAAUUUCAUUAACCUUAGUGUAAGGCUUAUUGGACACACAAAACUAUUUAUAAUGGCAUACAUAAAUUAUAGUCAUGUGGUUGUAGUAAUAAAAGGUCAUUAUCUAAACAUUUGUAUUUAGGCAUUAUAGGAAAUAUGUCUUGGAAGAGUUUCGUCUACAUUUGUGAUUGAGUUAAUACAGUAUUAUAUUUACGGUACAUGACAGCACUCAAGACAUGCUGUAAAUAUAUACAUAUAUUUAUGCCAGUUUGAAAUAUCUUUUUUACAGAUGCAUUCUUAACACAGUAUAAGCCUGUAAAUAUUUCAUUAUGACCUAACAUUAAUUAAAUUAUACCAGUAAAUUCUUUUACAAUGGAAUAGAUAAAUACUAUUAAAAUAUUAAAUAUAAAACUGUUUAUGAAUAGUUUCUCAUGUAGAGAAGAACAAGCCAGUUUUUCUAUACUGUUUACAUGAAGCAAAAUUACAGGAAAAAAAUUGGGUGCUUUUUAUCUCCAAGAUAGAUAAACUAUGAAAAACUAUUAAUAAAUUUUAAGUUAAUUAGAAAAAUUUUCAAAAUCAUUGUUAGUCCACGAUUUACCAUUGGCAUGCUUAUUUACUUUUACCUGCAGUGAUUGCAUUCACAUAUUUAGGUCAUAAUAGUAUAUAGAUUAAAUACUUUUAAAUUAUGUUUAUAUUGUGGAUUUCAAUUUAUAUUCUGGUUUACAACUUAUAAAGAUAGUAUUUCAUUUAUAAUUCAGUUAAUUCUGCAAUCUCAAUGUUAUGACUAAAUUCAAUUUGUGGUAAAUACAUAUCCUGUAACUUUUCUAAAUGUUUUAAUAUGUUUAUAUAUCUUUAAGCUAUUUUAAAAUUUUGUAUAUUUUCAUCUAGUAUUAUUAAAGGUAAAUACCUAGUAUAGUGUACGAAAAAACAGCCUGUAUCACAUUAAAAGCAAUCAAGAGAAAUUAAAAUCAGAGUUAGGAUUAAUGAGUAACAUUUAUCCCAGCACCUUUCAAGAUUAUACACAGCUCCGUACUCAGUUUGUGGACAGCCUGAGCUCAUUUGGCCUUGUGUCAAAAGAAAGUGUGAAAACAGAAAAACUGAACACAUCCCUUCAACACAAAAGGAAUUUAAGAUAGCCAAAUACCAGAUCUACGAAAAGAACAUAAGGAUUGCAGCUUAAGUAAUAAUUGAAGAUUUGUGCAAGUCAAUUAAACUAUACAUGCUUGGAAAUUGCCACAUGGGACCAUCUUGAAUGAACAGUUUAUGCAAACAGAAAACAUGUUCAGGAAGAAUGUUAAAAUUUUAACACUUGUAAAUAGAAAGAAGAUGACAUUUGCCUGUCUUUGUAAUUUAUGAGGGUAUUUGCAAAUAAGCAUCAAAACAAGAAGAAAAUAUUAAAAAGACAUUUUGUGCCAGGACAUCAUGGUAGUGCUGGAUUGCCUAUCCAACUCUGUAUAAAGGUUUUUCAAACAAUUUGUGAAGAAUGUUAGUAUCUUCAGAGUCUUCUGCAUCAGCAAAGAGUAGUGCAUUAACUAAUGGAAAAGAGAAGAUAAAAUUUCUGGUGCUCAUGAUGACUAGUCCGAACCUGUGAACUUCUGAGAAAAUUUACAGUUCUGAAAACUAGAGGUGGUUACCGAAUUGAAUAGCCGUUGGUUCUACAGCCACUAUAAUGAUCUGAAAAGUUGAAUGUGUUGCAUGAACACUUUCAGGAAUCAUAAUAGAACUCAGCUAAUUAGAUAGAGACUGGAAUGUUGAUUUGAAGACAAUUACUUUAUAAAGAUUUUCUCAUUGCUGCUUUUGCAUUAUCCCAAGAAGUGGAGACACUACUACAUGGAUAAGAACUGUAUGAUUGAAUUGACUUUGGAAUCAUCUCAGUAUUGUCAUAAGUAUGAAGUGUAUUUCAUGGUACUUUUGAAGUUAGUUAUAGAAUUUUUUCAAUUGAUUUUUCUAUUUUUCAAAGGGUUUAGGUAAUAUGUAGCAUAGUCUGACUUGAGUGGUAACAUUUUAGAAAUAUACCAGGUACUGUUAGGGCAAUAUUGUGUGAAGAUUUACUUUUAUAGUGCAUGCCAAAUUUUGGGUUUUCUGGUACAUUUUAUUGGAUUUUAUUUAUUAAUAUUUGUUAUAAGAGCAGCUGAUUAUGGGUUAAGAUGAUAGUAUUACAGUUAUGUGUCAAAAUUCUAUUACUUUGAACUACAUUGGCUUGGUAUAUCAAGUCUACAUUUGAUUAAAUGUAGACUUAGCAGGAUUAAUGAAUUUGGCCAUUAAAACUACAGGAAUUUUAGUCAACAUUCCUCUCAUAUUUGUGUAUUUAUGUAUGUAUGUAUGUAUGUACAGGAAUUUUAGUCAACAUUCCUCUCAUUUGUAUAUGUAUGUAUGUAUGUAUUUAUUUAUUUAUUUAUUAUCAAAUCAUGCUGUUCAUUUCUGCUCAUUGUUUGAGUUUCCAUGCUAAUUAUCUAUUAUUCAUAAGUACAUUUAUAAAUAAGUCUGUAAGCAGGUCAUCAUGUAUGUCAGAUAAAAUACUGUGUUUUCUACUCUCUGUUUUAUUACUAAGUUGUAUA
rnacentral:lncRNA from 1 species